rnacentral:rRNA from 1 species
GACGAACGCUGGCGGCGUGCUUAACACAUGCAAGUCGAGCGAGGCCCUUCCUUCGGGAAGGUGUCCUAGCGGCGAACGGGUGAGUAACACGUGGGCAACCUGCCCUUAGCUCUGGGAUAAGCCCGAGAAAUCGGGUCUAAUACCGGAUACGACACGGGACGGCAUCAUCACCGUGUGGAAAGAAUUUCGGCUAAGGAUGGGCCCGCGGCCUAUCAGCUUGUUGGUGAGGUAAUAGCUCACCAAGGCGACGACGGGUAACCGGCCUGAGAGGGCGACCGGUCACACUGGGACUGAGACACGGCCCAGACUCCUACGGGAGGCAGCAGUGGGGAAUAUUGCACAAUGGGCGAAAGCCUGAUGCAGCGACGCCGCGUGAGGGAUGACGGCCUUCGGGUUGUAAACCUCUUUCAGCAGGGACGAAGCGAAAGUGACGGUACCUGCAGAAGAAGGACCGGCCAACUACGUGCCAGCCGCCGCCGUAAAAC